GCUUCUCAUACCGCCCUGCCAGCGGAGGCUGGGGGUGCACAAGGAGAGUCGCUGAGCUAAAGGAGGAUUCCAGGUAAACAGGUCAGCUCGAAAUACACCACCUCCUUUAAAAGUUAAGAGCGAUUUGAACACUUAAAAUCAGCAUUUAGGCUAAUUGAUACGAUUUUCAACACCUUCUUAGCA